rnacentral:rRNA from 1 species
UUUCGCAAUGCCCGAAAGGGUGACGAAGCGACGCCGCGUGGGUGAGGAAGGCCUUCGGGUUGUAAAGCCCUGUCAGGAGUUAAGAAAUGUAAGUGCGCUAAUACCGCAUUUAUUUGACGAAGGCUCCAAAGGAAGUCACGGCUAACUCUGUGCCAGCAGCCGCGGUAAUACAGAGGUGGCAAGCGUUGUUCGGAAUUAUUGGGCGUAAAGAGCACGUAGGUGGGUUUGUAAGUCAGAUGUGAAAGCCUCCUGUUCAACGGGAGAAUUGCAUCUGAAACUACAGACCUUGAGUGUAGGAGGGGAGAAUGGAACUUCUGGUGGAGCGGUGAAAUGCGUAGAUAUCAGAAGGAACGCCGGCGGCGAAAGCGAUUCUCUGGCCUAUUACUGACACUCAGUGUGCGAAAGCUAGGGUAGCAAACGGGAUUAGAUACCCCGGUAGUCCUAGCCGUAAACGAUGGGCACUAAGUAGAGGGGUUUUA